GACGAACGCUGGCGGCGUGCUUAACACAUGCAAGUCGAACGGAAAGGCCCUGCUUUUGUGGGGUGCUCGAGUGGCGAACGGGUGAGUAACACGUGAGUAACCUGCCCUUGACUUUGGGAUAACUUCAGGAAACUGGGGCUAAUACCGGAUAGGAGCUCCUGCUGCAUGGUGGGGGUUGGAAAGUUUCGGCGGUUGGGGAUGGACUCGCGGCUUAUCAGCUUGUUGGUGGGGUAGUGGCUUACCAAGGCUUUGACGGGUAGCCGGCCUGAGAGGGUGACCGUCCACAUUGGGACUGAGAUACGGCUCAGACUCCUACGGGAGGCAGCAGUGGGGAAUAUUGCACAAUGGGCGGAAGCCUGAUGCAGCAACGCCGCGUGCGGGAUGACGGCCUUCGGGUUGUAAACCGCUUUCGCCUGUGACGAAGCGUGAGUGACGGUAAUGGGUAAAGAAGCACCGGCUAACUACGUG
rnacentral:rRNA from 1 species